rnacentral:rRNA from 1 species
UACGCAGGCGGCUUGGUAAGACAGGCGUGAAAUCCCCGGGCUUAACCUGGGAACUGCGCUUGUGACUGCCAGGCUCGAGUCUGUCAGAGGGGGGUGGAAUUCCACGUGUAGCAGUGAAAUGCGUAGAGAUGUGGAGGAACACCGAUGGCGAAGGCAGCCCCCUGGGAUAAGACUGACGCUCAUGUACGAAAGCGUGGGGAGCAAACAGGAUUAGAUACCCUGGUAGUCCACGCCCUAAACGAUGUCGACUAGUUGUCGGGGAUUAACUUCUCGGUAACGCAGCUAACGCGUGAGUCGACCGCCGUGGGGAGUACGGUCGCAAGAUUAAA